rnacentral:miRNA from 1 species
CAAACUUGAUGCUGUUUAUGACGUCGAAUAUCGACGUCAUAAACACCAAAGUUGAUCGUGUUUAUGACGUCGAAUAUCGACGUCAUAAACACCAAAG